rnacentral:rRNA from 1 species
AUAUCAGUCAUGCAUAGCAUAUCAAUAAGCGGAGGAAAAGAAACUAACAAGGAUUCCCUUAGUAACGGCGAGUGAAGCGGGAAGAGCUCAAAUUUGAAAUCUUCAAGGUUUUACCUUGACGAAUUGUAGUUUAAAGAAGUGUUUUCUGUUGAAGUUUUGGUAAAAGUUCUUUGGAAUAGGACAUCAUAGAGGGUGAGAAUCCCGUAUUUGACCAUUACUUUCAGCUUUGUGAUACACUUUCGAAGAGUCGGAUUGUUUGGGAAUGCAGUCCAAAAUGGGUGGUAAAUUUCAUCUAAAGCUAAAUAUUGGCGAGAGACCGAUAGCGAACAAGUACCGUGAGGGAAAGAUGAAAAGAACUUUGAAAAGAGAGUUAAACAGUACGUGAAAUUGUCAAAAGGGAAGCGUUUGACACCAGUGUUGUUUUCUCGAAAAUCAAUUAAAAAGAGUUGGAUUUUGUGUUGUAUUGACUUUAUCGGCUUUCUUCACUCUUUUCCAGCUUUUUUUAAUGCACUUUUCGUUUAACAAGUCAACAUCAGUUUCUUUUGUUGUAAAAAGGUCAUUGGAAGGUGGCUUUCUCUUCGGAGAAAGUGUUUAUAGCCUUUGACUCAUGCAAUCGGAGAGACUGAGGUCUGCAGCGUAGAUCCUUCGGGGUUAGAUACAUUUGUGCUAAGUUAUAGCUUCUCAUAGACAACUUGUUGGAACUAUGUUUAGUCUUGUAGCUUACUCGCUUAUGCUAUUUUACCUACGCUUAGGAUGUUGAACUCUAUCACACACAG